ACGCGCACACGCGCACAGCACGCGCCAAAGCAGGCUCAGCGGCCCGGCGAGGAGGUGCACGCGGGAGCCGGGAGCCUGAGCUCCCACGACGGGGCGGAGCACCGAGGGGGCGUGACGAGUGCGAGGCUCUGCUAUGCCAUUGGCGGCGGCCGGGCCAUGUGGAAGCUCACGUGAGCCGUCCGCCCACGGGCCGUCGGGCGCGCAGGCGCGCAGCGGAGCUUGGGAGAGGGCUGAGGAGGGAGUGCCUGGAAACCGGCGACGGAUGCCUGGCGUCGUGCCCUGCAGCUGGCGGCGGGUGGGGCCGCCGGGCAGCCGCUGCUUUCCCCUGUCGAGAAGGCUGCGGACAAGAAAACGAUCCGGGAGGGGAGCGCCCCGGCCUGGGCUCCCUCCCGCGAAAGUCCGCGGGAUCCUAGGGCCCGGUUAACCAGGCAGAGGCUCUGGGCGAUAUUACAGACGGACGUUGAGAAAAGCCAAGAUCAGCCUUCGAGGUCUCUCUCUGUGCCCUGUCGCCUCUGUGACCUCUGGCAACUCAUUUAGCCCGGUCCUCAGUUUCCCUACUCUUCUAUAGGGACUGACCAAGAAGAAAAGAUUUCACGUCACAAUCACUACGUGCCUAAUCUGCCAUGCCUCUUGGUCUAGAGGAUAAUGACUUUCUCUGAAGAAUGUGUCCUUUGAUGCCCAGAAGCUCAAGACUGUCUGCCCACCUGUGCCUGGUCUUCCCUUAUGGUGGAGCUGCAGUUCCUGUUGAUGGAAAGCCCAGGAGGCGGGAGCCUUGGCAGAGCUCCCCCGACUUUACGAUGGUCGCUGUAGUGCUCGUGACCAGCUGCUGGCAGCCCCUCGUCUGGAAGAGCCAAUGAACAUUGUACUAAACACUCCCUGAAUACUUGUUCAAGUAGAGCUCCUCAGGGUUAGUGAUCAGACAAUCAACACUCAAAGCAUGACUUACAAGCCAGCAGCUUCAGUGUCCCUGGGAGCCUGCUGGACAUGCACCAUCUCCUGUCCCUGAACUCUAACCAGGUCUCCUGAGGAGCCAGAGGUCCGCGAAGGUGUCAAUGAUGACCCCGAAAAUGAGGUUGAGGACGAUGAUGAUGACCAUGAAGAAGAACAGGAGGUCAUAGAUGACUCUGGCGGCGAACAGGGGCUCCUGGGUGAGAGGCGCAGCCGCCGUGAGGCCCGCGCGCUCGGGGCAAGGCGGCUGCGGCUCCAGCCAGGCAGGUGCACGGCCGGCACGCGGACUCCGCAGCGCCCUCCCACGCCCGGCAGUUGCUCUGGCGGCACCUAAACUGGGCAUCUGGCUCGGGAAGGCACAACUGCAGCUCCUUUCACACCUUCUGUCCCAAAUUUUCAGCUCUCCCAAGUGCUGGGUGGCCCGUGCAGGAGACUAGCUUCCUGGGCUCUAAGGAGUUUGGGGGCCCUGGUCAGGUGGGCCAGACCCAGCCCUGAGGGCAACAGCCACCCAGGGGCAGUGAGUGGAGACGCGAGGCUGCCUCUUCCCACACAGCUGGUUUCCUUGUACCACUUCAACGUGACAACUGUGCGGGAAGAAGCCUUCACUAGCUCGCUCUGCACGUCUACGCACCACCGCCGUGCCUGAGUGUCUUCAGUUUACACUCAAGCCCACGGCGUUGUGCUCUCACCGCCCACCCCCACCCCCUGGGCUCUUCCUUCCCCCCCGGGACUCGGCUACCUCUUUG